rnacentral:rRNA from 1 species
ACACGACUACAUUAGAUACCCCCGUAGUCCCAGCCCUAAACGAUGCGCGUUAGGUGUAUCGGUGACCACGAGUCACCGAGGUGCCGAAGGGAACCGUGAAACGUGCCGCCUGGGAAGUACGGUCGCAAGGCUGAAACUUAAAGGAAUUGGCGGGGGAGCACCACAACGGGUGGAGCUUGCGGUUUAAUUGGAUUCAACGCCGGAAAUCUUACCGGGACCGACAGCAACAUGAAGGCCAGGCUGAAGACUUUGCCGGAUUAGCUG